UUUCUACUCCCUCCGUCCAAAAAUACUUGUCAUCAAAAUGGAUAAAAAGAGAUGUAUCUAAACUAAAAUACGUCUAGAUACAUUUCCUUUUAUCCAUUUUGAUGACAAGUAUUUCCGGACGGAGGGAGUAUUUG
rfam:Triticum aestivum genome assembly, contig: Triticum_aestivum_CS42_TGACv1_scaffold_194880_3AL